GUAUAAGAAGACAGAAUGUGGGCGCAUUGCACCAUUCUCUGUGAAAGUGCUUGUGAGUUUGUGGCCAUGUCUGGGAGAGGAAAGGGCGCUGGUGGGAAAGCUCGCUCCAAGGCGAAGUCCCGGUCGUCCCGGGCUGGCCUGCAGUUCCCGGUGGGCCGUGUUCACAGGCUCCUAAGAAAGGGUAACUAUGCUGACCGUGUGGGUGCCGGAGCGCCGGUCUAUCUGGCUGCGGUACUCGAGUACCUGACGGCUGAAAUCCUCGAGCUGGCCGGUAACGCGGCCCGGGACAACAAGAAAACCCGCAUCAUUCCCAGGCACCUCCAGCUGGCCGUGCGCAACGACGAGGAGCUCAACAAGCUGCUGGGAGGGGUGACCAUCGCUCAGGGCGGGGUGCUGCCUAAUAUCCAGGCCGUGCUGCUGCCCAAGAAAACUGCCGCUGGGGGCGCCACUAAAAAGUGAAAAGACCGUUCUUGAAACUGACAGCCCAAAGGCUCUUUUAAGGGCCACCCACAACAUCUGUGAAAGAAACUAAUCCCUCUGCACUGUCGGAAUGACUUGAUUGCUUUAAUUGUUGUCAGUUUCAGUCCCUUUGUUAUUGGAUACUCUUACUGUCACUGCGUGUAUGAUCUAACAUGAAAUCUUUACAAACAGCCUACAGUCAGUCACGUUAAGAACGGAAGCCCAUGCCAUGGUCACAGUUACAGACAAAAGAAACUGCAGAUGCUGGAAUCCAAGGUAAACAAACGGGAGGCUGGAAGGAGAGGUGGCGGAAAUGCCAAGGGAGGUAAAGAGAAGAGAGGUUUUACCUCGAAUUUCUAAACUCCUGCAUGCAGGGAGCCGGUACUUCAAUUAUGUUCCGUGAUCACUUGAAAUGUAAAUUCGUAAUUUCACUGCCGCUUCCUGACUUUCUAUUUCUGUCAUACAAAAGUAUCAGUCCUACACCCUGGUUUCUCAGUCAGAUGCAGCUCCUGCAAUUACAGCGGAAUUAACGCGGUGCAAUAACAAGACAUAAAUAUAACAAAGAAACGCACGUCACGGUCAGUUCGGCUCUCUGGAUGGUUGAGUGGCUCUGAAAAGAGCCGUUGGGUUUCUCGGGGUUAACGUGGAGGCCUGGGCACGCUCCGUUUAGGCGCGCUCCCCGCGGAUCCGGCGGGCCAGCUGGAUGUCUUUGGGCAUGAUGGUGACUCACUUGGCAUGGAUGGCACACGGGUUGGUGUCCUCAAACAGCCCUACCAGGUAAGCCUCGCUGGCCUCCUGCAGGGCCAUCACAGCCGAGCUCUGGAAGCGCAGAUCGGUCUUGAAGUCCUGAGCGAUCUCCCGCACCAGGCGCUGUAAGGGCAGUUUGCGGAUCAGUAGCUCGGUGGAUUUCUGGUAGCGGCGGGUCUCCCGCAGAGCCACCGUGCUGGGUCAAGAGCGAUGAGGCUUCUUCACUCCGCCCGUGGCCGGAGCGCUCUUGCGGGCCGCUUUGGUCGCCAGCUGCUUGCGGGGAGCUUUUCCCUCUGGUGGAUUUGCGCGCUGUCUGCUUGGUUCUGGCCAUUCUCUUUAAAUCUCUGUAACACGCUUACAGGCUGCUGCUAGCAAUGCUGAGCCUGCUGCGGUGCUGAAUAGUUAAGACAAUGGAGAGCCCGCCCUCGAGCUGGGAUUGGAUACAGUUCCGUCCCUCAACCCACCGAGAAGCAGCUCCGGAAGCUACAGAAAAGGCAGUAAAAUAAUUGUUGGAAGCUGAUUGGUUAACUUGAAAUGACAGUUGGUCAAUUUCAAAUAGCCCGCCAAUUUUACCCUCGCAAUCCUGAGAUUAAGUUAAAUAUUUAAAGGCAAAAUGAAGUCCGACUGCGAUAAAAUCUUGUACUUUGUAGGAUUUUUAAAAAACCUAGCUUGCAGUCAGCGUGGACACGACACGGGAUAUUUGCCUGAUCUGUCUGUAACAGGCAGGAGGAAAGCGCGGCGUUUAAUACAGCCCAGACAAACUGAUCAACCGGCCGUUGAAGAAUCUAAAGAAUCCCGCCGAUUUAAACAUAAUAAAAACAAAUAUAGUGUACACUAAUAAAGUUACGCAAUCUCAA